rnacentral:ribozyme from 1 species
UUUUUUUUUUUUUUUUUUUUUUUUUUUUUUUUUUUUUUUUUUUUUUUUUUUUUUUUUUCUGACAAGCCGCGUAC